GCGGCUACUGCUAUCAGGUUUCGACUAAGCCAUGCGAGUCAAGGGGUCGUAAGACACCGGCGUACUGCUCAGUAACACGCGGACAAUCUACCCCCAGGUGGAGGAUAACCUCGGGAAACUGAGGCUAAUACCCCAUAGUUGUCAUGUGCUGGAAUGCUUUGACGAUGAAAGAAUUUCGCCUGAGGAUGAGUCUGCGGCCUAUCAGGUAGUAUGUGGCGUAAAGGACCACAUAGCCUAAGACGGGUACGGGCCUUGAAAGAGGGAGCCCGGAGAUGGACUCUGAGACACUAGUCCAGGCCCUACGGGGCGCAGCAGGCGCGAAAACUGUGCAAUGCGCGCAAGCGCGACACGGGAAGCCUGAGUGCCUUAACUAUGUUAAGGCUUUUCUUGAUCCUAAAAAGCUCAAGGAAUAAGAGCUGGGUAAGACGGGUGCCAGCCGCCGCGGUAACACCCGCGGCUCGAGUGGUAGUCACUUUUAUUGAGCCUAAAGCGUUUGUAGCCGGAUUUGUAAAUCUCUAGGAAAAUACUUCUGCUUAACUGAAGAAAUUUUGGAGAGACUGCAAAUCUAGGGACCGGGUGAGGUUGAAUGUACUUCUGGGGUAGGGGUAAAAUCCUGUAAUCCUGGAAGGACGACCGGUGGCGAAGGCGUUCAACUAGAACGGAUCCGACGGUGAGGAACGAAGGCUAGGGGAGCAAACCGGAUUAGAUACCCGGGUAGUCCUAGCUGUAAACACUGCCCACUUGGUGUUGCAUCUCCGGUAAGGGGGUGCAGUGCCGUAGCGAAGGUGUUAAGUGGGCCGCUUGGGGAGUAUGGUCGCAAGGCUGAAACUUAA
rnacentral:rRNA from 1 species